GGUAUCUGUGCUCUGGAGGUACCGGAUGCAUAUCAUUGAUGUUGAUCAUUCGUUGGGACCUCCAGUGGCUGGUUGGAAGAGAGUUCCUCCUUGAAAAACGCACCAUAUCAUAGGCAUAAAGUCCAGUCCAAACACGCAAAUGCGGAAUCCUGAUCGUUAAUAUGCCAAUAUUUAUGCUCCACUUAUGAUUUUAGUUGUGCAUGUACGUGUGAAGGGAGAUUAUAGUUGCAAGAUCUGAAAGCUAUCCAUGCUUCUUGGUAAUGGACUCUUCAGUUGGUACUUGAUGAGCUUUCAAUAUAUAUUGAUUGUGUUGGAUGCGUAUAUAUUUUUUAGAUGGAUAGCAAGUUGUAUGUAGCAAGGGUUAUUGGGAGGGGAGACUGAAACUAAGAUCUAUCCGGUGAGUUGAGGUAAAAGGUGGGGUGCCAGAAAUAUUCAAUGUGAUGUAUGUGCAAAAACACUUUUGAUGCUAAAACUUUUGUACAUGUAUUCCAUGGUAUUUUUCCACAUACACUCGUACCUAUAUUUCAUUAUACUUGCCACAUUAUAUGGUUUCAGUUAGUACACUGCAAUGGAGUCUACAAAAGAGUACUAUAAGGAGAAGCAUGUAGCAACUUUCUGUACUUGCAGAAAAACACUAUUUUAUUUAUUUAUUUUGGAUUCAAAACAAGCUUAGCUUAAGUACUACAUAUAUGUUGUUGACCCAGGCUAUUGCAUAAUACCGUGUACAACAUGUAUUUUGAACUCAAGAUGGGUAAAAUCAUCAUAUGGUUAGUAUCUAACAGUUGUUUUAAAAACAAAUCACAUACUGUUGAUUUCAUUUUAUUUCCAAUAAAAGCACUGCAUUUUUUCCUUCCCCUUUUUUCAACCAUCAUGCAAACAAAAUAAGUACCCUCAUGUUUCUAUUUCGGUAGAUUUCCUUUCUUCCUGCAGGGAUUAUCAGAGAAGUGUCUGCAAGAGUUGUCUACCACCAGAGCAGAUUCCAGAUAAAAGCUAUCAUUUACUAAGGACAAAUCUGAUAAACCAAUUCAGAUGCAUGUGUUAACUUUUUGCCUUCAUGAUCUCCGUGUCUUCAAUUAAAUGGUUUCUUUCAUCUAUCUCAGCUUGCCCAUCAGCACCAUGAUGUCGACUAUCUGUACCCAUACUACUGAGGAUUGAAAAUUCAUCGGACCUACAGCGAAUGCUAACCUUGAGAGGAGAAAGAUGAGAGGGAGGUGUAACGUGGUUGUUGCUGCUGCUUGAGGACUCCACUGAAAAAUAGAAGAGAAGACGAAGAGAAGAGGAAGGCCCGCAGAUCUUGAUGGAGAUCAUAAAAAUUUGUCUGCACACUGGUAACUUCUACCUAUUUUUUGUAUAAGGGUAUAUGGUUUUUAAUAUUAGGUAGAGAUUCUGAUACUUUCUAAUUACGUAACAUAUCACUACAUAGAAUCAUUAGAAGUGAUUUUUAUUUUGAUGUUUCGUUUGUACAGGUUGAAUAAAUCUAAAUGUUCAGGUUGGAUCAGUAACCACUUAAUAGCUGCACAGUGCGCUCCAACUAUGCUUUGGUUGAAAUGAAGGGUUGCUAUUGCAUCUACUAAGCCACCCUUCCAAAAAGCAUUAAGGUUGCUAUUGCUUAUAUACAAAACCUGAACUAACUGUAGUUAACUAUUUCAAUUUUCUCACAUCUAACUAUUCAGAUGUUGUGAUUAUAGGCUAACCCUGUUAGUUGUGAAUUGUGAUUUGAUUUUUGUAUUGACGACAUCUUAAUUAGUAAUACUUGCUCGAGCUUACAAUUUAGUACUACUGGAAAUUCUGAUUCCUUUUCACCAUGUAUAUAUCCGUGUUCCCGGUUACCUCCUACUGCAGUUCUUUGUUAAACUGACGGUGAUGGAACUUAAAAAAUCGCAGACUUGAUAAUUCACAAAGGUAUGUACACAUUUACCGCAAAAAUGUUCUCAUUUUUAUAUUAUUCAUGAUGCCAUAGGUUUUAAUAUCUCUUUUUUCAUUUCCUCUUCGUUGAGCAGUGAAAGCCGGUCAUGUGAUUUUGGCUGCUGCUUAUUCCCUGCCCCAUUGUGAAACUACAGACAAGGCUUAAAUAAUUAGAUUCCCUAACAUACCUCAAUUAGCAAUGUAGCAUUUUGAAUAUCUUCAUAUUGUCUGUAGUGACCGUAGUUAGUCUUUGCCAGUUGCUGGCUUCAAUUUCUCCUCAAUCUGUAUGUUCUGAUAUAAAAAUUAAUGAACCCGCUCAUGUGAUAGCUCACGUGUGAAGGGGAGUGUCCGUCUA